rnacentral:rRNA from 1 species
GUAGGUGGCGAGCGUUAUCCGGAAUGAUUGGGCGUAAAGGGUGCGUAGGUGGCAGAACAAGUCUGGAGUAAAAGGUAUGGGCUCAACCCGUACUGGCUCUGGAAACUGUUCAGCUAGAGAACAGAAGAGGACGGCGGAACUCCAUGUGUAGCGGUAAAAUGCGUAGAUAUAUGGAAGAACACCGGUGGCGAAGGCGGCCGUCUGGUCUGUUGCUGACACUGAAGCACGAAAGCGUGGGGAGCAAAUAGGAUUAGAUACCCUAGUAGUCCACGCCGUAAACGAUGAGAACUAGGUGUUGGGGGAAUAACUCAGUGCCGCAGUUAACGCAAUAAGUUCUCCGCCUGGGGAGUAUGCACGCAAGUGUGAAACUCAAAGGAAUUGACGGCAGCAGCC